rnacentral:ncRNA from 1 species
CAAAAAGCGAAGAACAGAAGAAGUAAGUUCAUACGAAUUGCAAGAGAUAAGCUGCCAUUGGCUGAAAGCAGCUUUCAAUAGACGGUGGACUGAAAUGCAUCUGGGAGCUAUGGCUUGAAAUUUUAGUAGGGCUAAUCGGGUGGUUCCGUUAAAGACUUGGAGUGGAAUGCUUUUUAUGGUUCAACCAGAGUGGGACCGCGGAUUAAAUACAACCGCCUCUGAU